CUUCUGCUCGGCCUACGCAGACCAGCUGCUGCCCUUCAUCAGACACGGCCUGCAGCAGCUGUUCCCCCCACAGGGGCUGGCCCACUGCCUGGGCGUGCCCCCCUCUCAGCUGCAGCGGUUGGGGGGUCCGGGCUGCCUGGACCUGGCUGAAGUCCUGCAGCCUCUGGACCACCUGCUCCCUCAGAGAGACCCGGAGAUCCACAUCGCCCCCCAACUGAGCAGCCUGACCCCACAGGCCCGAGACCCGGGAGCGGAGCCGGGCCUCGGGCCGGAGUCAGAACGGCCCCCCACCGGGUCCACCGGGUCCGGCCUCGCGGACCCAGAGGAGCCCAGAAGGGACGGAGACGUCUCUCUGGGCUGACGGAGCCUCAUGUGGACUGAACCCCGACGUUUACCGAGACUCGGAGGUUUCACGAGCCAAUAAGGAAUCAAUAAAUAAUGAGCUGAAUGCGA